GGUCGAACUGGGUUGGGAUUUUCUGGCCCAUGGCCUAAGCCCGGCACAGCCCAUAAGGGCUUGGGCCGACACGGACGUGGGCCAGGCCCGAUCCAUUUGGGCCGUGCUAAGGCACGGCACCUUUGGCAUGGCCCGUUUAAGAUUUUUAAAAUUUUUUUAAAAAAUAUGCAUGAAUAAGUUAAAAAAAGGUUGGGGACUAGGAUUUAAAUAUACGGCCAUCUUAUUAGGUGGAAAGUUUGGCGUGGAUCCUUACCAGUUUAUUAAUAAAUAUCAAAAUAGUAUAGGA
rnacentral:lncRNA from 1 species